UUCUACUUUUGAUCAAAACUUCUCAUGCCCUAAACAGCCCUUGCUUCAAAUUGUAAAGGUUGGUCUUCGAUUUGUCGUCGAGCGCGCAUGGAAAUCGAGAUCAAAUCGGUCCUGCUUUACCCAUCUCUCCCGAUUUUGCCACCGGAUGCCUAUUGGAGCUUGGCCACAAGAAUUGUUAUGAUUAUGGUUCAAAUUACAUGUUGGCACAUUGCACACUGACCAGUAUUUACAGAUUUGACCAAGGACCGACACAGACACUGGUCCUAAGGGACCAUAGGAGAUUUCGGGGAGGCUGACCUUUGCAGACGGACACGCAAGGGUGCCGUAUGACUAGGAAAAACCAGCUAAGUGCAUGACAACAUGACAAUGCUCCUUGGAACCAACUACAAUCUGGAGCUCAAGUUUGUUGUCCUCUACAAUAUACCAAUUCACGAUUGUUCUGUAGAAUCAUUACGUUAGCUUAUUAUUUAGUCCUAAACAUGUGGCAUAGAUGAUGCUAAAUGUUAUUGAUGAUGUGGUGAUCAUGGAUCAUUUAAUAGAUCCUAUGAUGUUCUAGUGAAGAUGAUGUUAAAUUGUAUGGCCCAUUGUAGCUUUGCCCUUGCAAGCAAAGAGGUUGUUUUCAUGAUAUUGAAGAUGAUGUUGUGCUUUUGUCUAUGAUUUCAUAUGUUUCACCAUAAAUCUCACUAGCAAUUUCCUUUUCAGUCCAAAGACAACUUUAUUUAUUCAGUCAUGCCAACUAUUUGGCACCAUCAUUCACACACUAGUGCUUGUAUUGCUUGCCUAAACCAAUUGUGUGGAAAGCAUAAGCUCAUGCCUCAUGAAAUCUUUGCCGAUUCUUCCUAGCAUCUUUGUAAGAAUGAACCCUAGAUUUUUUGCAUGUACUUUGUGCAAACUAGUUUUCACUGACCUUGACUUGGUAGGCAGCAGUAAAGAUCCCCGUUUCAAGUGCUGAACCCAUUUUGGAAUAUGGUUGGACCGUUACAUAUCGAUCAGUUCCGAUGUACCAUGUGCAUUGGUAUGUACCUGCAUUUCAGAGAGGAAGAAAAAAAGGAGGAAGGGCUGGUGGCGGAAGAGGAGGGAGAAAGGAGGAAGAGGAAACAAGGAGAGACAAUGAAAGAAGAGGAGGGGGAAGGAAGAAGAGGAAGCAUAUGAGGAGGAAGAAGGAAAAAGAGGAGGAAGAGAAGACCUACAAAUCGGUUAAUGCUUGACGAACAGGAAAGUGGGAGUGUGCCUAGGGAGAUAAAAAUUGGCGAAUGGCAAUAGCGGUAUGGCGGUGGUUGUGAUAUUGUGAGAAGAAGGCAGCAAUGAGAAGAAGAAUUGCUCAACGUCGAACGACAAUGGCGGUGGCAUCAGUGUCGUGAGAAGAUGCAGCGGCGACAAAAGGCUGGCAUGACAUCAAACGACAGUGGUGUCAUAAAGCAGCAUCACGAGAAGAGGUCUUGCAUUCAUGAGCUCUCAUUACUAUUUUAGGUUUUUUUCUUUUUUAAUGCUGAGUUGGAUGGGUCCCAUCUCUAUUUUAGGUUUUUUUAAAUUUUUCCUUGAGUUGGGUCGUCUGCCUAAAACAGGGGUGGUCCGUAUAUUAGUACAAAUCCGGACCAAUAUGUCAUUGUUUUGUACCAUAUUGGGUGCUACUGCAAUCCUUGGGCAGCGACAGCCAUGCUUGCAGAUUUUGUUUGGAUUCAUGUCGGAAGCUGGACAAGGAUAGUUGUGGAGGUCCUGCACGUGAUUUUGAUGCUUUUCUCAUUUGUUUGCUUGUUGGAUGUAAGAUUCGACAUACAAGUUAAAUUUUGUCUUCAUAACAAAAUGAAGUGAAAGAGAGUCAAUCUUGUAUCAAUCAACAUUUCUGCUGGCAUCUGAUUACCAUUUUCAGAAUCUCACCUAAGACAGAUGUAUUUUUAUCAAGCCAUCUAGUACCUCAUGACAUUGUU